rnacentral:rRNA from 1 species
GACGAACGCUGGCGGCGUGCUUAACACAUGCAAGUCGAACGGAGUGGCGAACGGGUGAGUAACACGUGGGUGAUCUGCCUUGCACUUCGGGAUAAGCUUGGGAAACUGGGUCUAACACCGGAUAGUGCAAGAUGAGGGGGCGGCCUAUCAGCUUGUUGGUGGGGGAAUGGCCUACCAAGGCGUCGACGGAUAGCCGGCCUGAGAGGGUGUACGGGCACAUUGGGACUGAGAUACGGACCAGACUCGUACAGGGGGCAGCAGGGGGGAAUAUUGCACAAGGGGCGGAAGCCUGAUGAAGCGACGCCGGGUGGGGGAUGAAGGCCUUGGGGUUGUAAACUCCUUUCGACAGGGACGCGGUACCUGUAUAAGAAGCACCGGCUAACUACGUGCCAGCAGCCGCGGUAAUUC